UACAGAGGUCUCAAGCGUUGUUCGGAAUCACUGGGCGUAAAGGGUGCGUAGGUGGCGUGGAAAGUCAGAUGUGAAAUCCGGAGGCUCAACCUCCGAAUUGCAUCCGAUACUCCCAUGCUAGAGAACUGGAGGGGAGUCUGGAAUUCUCGGUGUAGCAGUGAAAUGCGUAGAUAUCGAGAGGAGCACUAGUGGCGAAGGCGAGACUCUGGACAGUUUCUGACACUGAUGCACGAAGGUCAGGGGAGCAAACGGG
rnacentral:rRNA from 1 species